rnacentral:rRNA from 1 species
CGUAACGACUCUCGGCAACGGAUAUCUCGGCUCUUGCAUCGAUUAAGAACGUAGCGAAAUGCGAUACUUGGUGUGAAUUGCAGAAUCCCGUGAACCAUCGAGUCUUUGAACGCAAGUUGCGCCCGAAGCCUUCCGGCCGAGGGCACGUCUGCCUGGGCGUCACGC